rnacentral:rRNA from 1 species
GACGUAGGGGGCCAGCGUUGUUCGGAAUUACUGGGUGUAAAGGGUUCGUAGGCGGUGUGGCAAGUCGGGAGUGAAAUCUCUGGGCUCAACCCAGAGUCUGCUUCCGAAACUGCUGUGCUUGAGUGUGGGAGAGGCGCGUGGAAUUGCAGGUGUAGCGGUGAAAUGCGUAGAUAUCUGCAGGAACACCUGUGGCGAAAGCGGCUCACUGGACCACAACUGACGCUGAGGCGCGAAAGCUAGGGGAGCAAACAGG